UACGGGGGGGGCAAGCGUUGUUCGGAAUUACUGGGCGUAAAGGGCUCGUAGGUGGCCAACUAAGUCACACGUGAAAUCCCUCGGCUUAACCGGGGAACUGCGUGUGAUACUGGAUGGCUUGAGUUUGGGAGAGGGAUGCGGAAUUCCAGGUGUAGCGGUGAAAUGCGUAGAUAUCUGGAGGAACACCGGUGGCGAAGGCGGCAUCCUGGACCGGCAUUGACGCUGAGGCGCGAAAGCCAGGGGAGCAAACGGG
rnacentral:rRNA from 1 species